UACGGAGGGUGCGAGCGUUGUCCGGAAUCACUGGGCGUAAAGGGCGCGUAGGCGGCUUCUCAAGCGUGUGGUGAAAGUCCGGGGCUCAACCCCGGAUCGGCCGUGCGGACUGGGGAGCUCGAGUUCUGUAGAGGCGGGUGGAAUUCCGGGUGUAGCGGUGGAAUGCGUAGAGAUCCGGAGGAAGACCGGUGGCGAAGGCGGUCUGCUGGGCAGUUUCUGACACUGAGGCGCGACAGCGUGGGGAGCAAACAGG
rnacentral:rRNA from 1 species